rnacentral:rRNA from 1 species
UCCGCCGGGGGCUCGCGUUGCUCGGAAUGACUGGGCGUACAGGGCGCGUAGGCGGAUGGUACAGUCAGAUGUGAAAUUCCCGGGCUCAACCUGGGGGCUGCAUUUGAUACGUAUGAUCUUGAGUGGGGAAGAGGGUCGUGGAAUUCCCAGUGUAGAGGUGAAAUUCGUAGAUAUUCGCAAGAACACCAGUGGCGAAGGCGGCUCACUGGCCCGAUACUGACGCUGAGGCACGAAAGCGUGGGGAGCAAACAGG